rnacentral:lncRNA from 1 species
ACAAAGUCAAAGCUGCAGGGUAAAAUAUUUUCCAUGGUUUAAAUUUAGGAAAAGAAACAAAGAAGAGUUAGGUAGUUAAUGAACUUACUUUGGCAUAAUUAAACCUAACACUGAGCCUAAUUGUGAGCAGAAAUUAGAAAAGGUUUGACAUAUAGAACAAUAAUUAGCGAAAAUGAUUUGGGCUUUUAUUAAUUUACUUGGUUUUUGUUUUGAAUUUUU